UACGGGGGGGGCAAGCGUUGUUCGGAAUUACUGGGCGUAAAGGGCUCGUAGGUGGCCAACUAAGUCAGACGUGAAAUCCCUCAGCUUAACUGGGGAACUGCGUCUGAUACUGGAUGGCUUGAGUUUGGGAGAGGGAUGCGGAAUUCCAGGUGUAGCGGUGAAAUGCGCAGAGAUCAUGAGGAAGACCAGUGGCGAAGGCGGGUCUCUGGGCCGAUACUGACGCUGAGGAGCGAAAGCGUGGGGAGCGAACAGG
rnacentral:rRNA from 1 species